AUCCAGUAGGACUGGCUCAAGUCAACUACCCUUCAUGGAUGCCUCUCUACCUGGCUCUUACAAACCCACUUUCCCUUCCAGUCUCUGGAAGCUGUUCCUGCCUGUGCAUCCAGAAAACACAAGUGGUUGGUUACAGCACACAUAUCCUAGGACUCCCCUGUUCCUCCGAGGACGCCUUCCCAUGGAAAGAAAACUAGACCAAAGUGAGCCCCAGGGCCUGUGCUCCUUGGCUCCAUAUCCUGGUCUCCUGGGGGCUGGUCCAGCCUGGGGCUCCACGAGUCCCCAAGCGCUGUGCGGGUGCUUCAGAGAGCGCCUGGCCUUGGACUUCUGACAGUGUGCAAGGGCGGCUUCUACAUUUGCCACGCCCCGUGGGUUCAUCUGGGCACGCAUCUCCGCACCUUUGGUGGUCUCCUGUGCCCUUGUUCCUCUCCGGCCUGCCCACCACUCCAGCGUAGUCACCUCUAAAGAUGGGUUGCCGUGUGUUACUUCUCCCAUGGGCAAGACCUACCGGCACUUCACGGCACCCACCAAGGUCAGGCCUCUGCUGGGCUUGCUCCUCACAAGGGGUGCUCCUUCUCACUUUUCCAAAAUAAUCGUUGCAUCUGUGGUUCUCCAGCCCAGAGCGCCUUUUCUCUUUCACUCAAGGAUUCAAAUGGCCUCCUUCUCCCAGGCCCAGCCCAUGCCGCACCUCUUCCAUGUAGCCUCAGGGCCAUAUAGGUUUGUAGAUCAUCUAGAUCCAACCCCUCAUUUUCUAGAUGGGGGAACUGAGGCUCAGAGAGGGUAGUUGAAUUGCUCAAAAGUCAAAUCACUAGCUGGAGACUGCAAAUACAGAUUUCCUCACCCUGCAGUAAAAUACCUUUGCACUAUUCCCGGCUGAAGAGGGUGUGUCUUCUGGAAGAGAAGGGGAUCUUAGGAAGGUAUGGACUAUCCCUAAAUCCACUUGAUCUCCCGUUGUCCUUACAGCCAGAAACACGUAAUUAAGUGCUUAAUUAGAAGCUGCUCUGCAUUGUUAUUUAAGUGUUUUCAAAGUAGACUGUAAGCCCCCUGAGGGCAGGGAACGUUCCCUGUGCUAUGGGAUCCUAUCCUCUCCUAAGCCCCUAGCACAGUGCUAGACACAGGAAGGUGUCCUAUGAUGGCCCAUCUGGGAGGACGAUUUUCCCACCUCCAUUUCUGGUGGCAAGCAGAAUGGCACAGAAGCCAAGGGACCCUGCCCAGAACUUAGGAGUCCAGUUCCUAAGUUUUCACGUAAAGGGAGGGGGGUGUGCACAAGAAACUGUGGUUUUGGCAAAGAUUCAAAGGGACUGAUGGUGGGUGUCAGGCCGCAUAGGUUUAGAGCUUCCUUGCUUGCUGCCAGUGUCACAGGAAGGGCACACCAGCCACUGUGUUUUCUGGAGGACGGGCUAGGAUGGAACCUGAGGACCCCAGCCACGGUGGACGGCAAGUGUCUUUGCGCUGCCUGCAAGCUGCCAAGUGGCAAAGGAUCCAGGAAAAGGCGCAGGAUUGGAAAGUGCUACCCAGCAAUCUGUGUAUUCUGCAAUUAAGAAGGGGGGCUGACAGUGAACUUAGCCUUGCUGCCCUAGCCCUUCACUACUCAGAACAGCAGCAGCAUCACCCGGGGAAUUUGUCAGAAAUGCAGAAUCUCGGGCGCCACCCUGGACACACGUGAAUCAGAAUCUUCCUUUUAACAAGAACCUGCAGUGAUUCAUACGUACAUUAAAGUCUGAGAAGCGCUGCCUCAGAGUCCUGCUCUCAGACCUUUCUGCCCACUUUCCCUGGGGUCUCUGGACUGGUGGCAGCAAUGGUGGGAACGAGCCCAGCUCUUGUCCCUGACAGGUCUCCUUCAGGCUUCGGAACCUUUGGAAUCACCCUUCCCCGGCAGCACGGACUGGUCCUGAAGUGGCCCCAGCUCUCAAGUCUGACUAUUUGGACUGGUCAGACUCCUGGGCGGUCAGAGGAGAUGGGUGGACUGGAGGCGUUGGGGCUUGGCCAGGACUGAGAAGACACCAGGCACAUCCUCUCUCCAGCACCCCCACCUGGAGUUGCAGAAACAGCCCCAGAUCAGUGACUCUCAGUGUCACUUGCUGCUCUGGACAUUUGAGUUUCUGGCGUUGGGCAGGGCAGUCCCUCCUGCUGGUGGAGGACCUGCGUGGGGGACCUGGGUGCAGUUUGAUGGGCACUGGCAGGGGAUGUUUGACACGCCCAUGGUAGCUCCUUUUUCCCUGAUCAUGCUCCUCACUCCUGACCCUCUUUGGGGAACGUUUAUUCCCCAGGUGUUCAGGGACCUCCAGGGAAGGAAGAGGCAAGAGAGCAUUGUUCUUCCCUGUAGCCUGUAGACCAGAGGGGGGUUGCGUGAGGCUCCCCAGGUGUGUGGGUCAGGGUCUGAUUUAGGGCCCUGGUCCUAGUAGGAGGCCUGCCACUAAGUGACUUCCUCAGGUUUCCCCCCUCUGAGAUGCCCAAGUAAAGCCGUCAUCCCUGGCAAGCUGCCAGUCUGCCCUCUCAUUCGUUGGCCAUGCCAGGGCCUGUGUGGUGGGCCUUUGCACCCCUGCCUGUCUGUGUCAGGCCAGGCUCCUUUUUCUGGGCCAAGGGAAAUGUGAAUGUGACCUGCUGGAGGUCUGCCAGGACUGGGGCUUGCUCUCUCAUUCUGUUGUGUCACCUUUUACAGUGCCCGGCAGGCAAAUGCCAAUCUGGGGAGCUUGGCAAUUACGAUGCAAAAACAACCGAGACUGAACUCUGUAAACACCCUGGCCUCACAGUUGCUCUGCCUCUGGAAUGCUUGGGGACUGACAUAACCCUGGGGAAGAGAAAGGAGAUCUACAGCCCUCUCUGGCAAGGCCAGCGGAGCCCGGGUCACUAGGCUGUCCCUUUAGGGGUGGUCAUCUAUUGGGGGGCCUCUCAGCUGAGCCCCGUGGGCUGAUAGGAAGGCAGGUGGAGAGCUAGGCUUGGGGCAGUUGCCGUGCUUGGCUUCCUGCCCUAUGGGGAUUGUCAUCAGUCUCCAAGUGUGUUGAAAUGAGUCUUUGCACAAGCUUGAGGAGGGCCCAGCAGUUCCAGGUGACAGUGCCCAGGGCCAUGAGGAGAUGGGAGGAAAGGGGAUGGGGUGACAACAGGGAAGAAUCCCAAAGAGGGUCAAGGGGCCUCCACAGCUGCUGACUCCCCAAGCUUCUGGAUCUGGGGCUUGGUCUGCCUAUCCCUGAACCAUGUGGCUGGACCUCAGAGGCCUUCCACCCCAGGAGUCUGCGGUUCUAGGAUGCCAGGCUGAUCCCAAGGCUAGGCCACAGGGAGCCGAGACAAACUUCUCCCCAGAACUUUUUAUUGUGAGCAGUCAAUUGCCCUGGCAUCUAAGGCUGCAGUGCACAAGCAAGGGGUCUUUAAUGAACGCAAAUGACAGCUGAUUAAUCUGCCUCCUCUCUGUGGGGUCUGGCCACGCUCCAUUCGGCCUCCAUGGCCUGCACCAGCAGGGUGGGCUCCAGCCUAUUACCACUGCGCUUGCAGCCCUAAUGGGGAAGAGGGGCAAGCCUCCCAGCCUGCAGUCCUGUCAUGCAUGAAGGGCUGACCCCUGCAGGAGUGGGUUUGGCCCCGCCACUCUCUCUCUGGGUGCUCCCCUACAGGAAGGGGGCAGCCCGCAAGGAAAGAUGCAAGCAGGUGCUCAGUGGGAUUUGUGCAAAGGGGUUACAUUUGGGAGGUAAGUGGGGGCACUGUCUAGACAACGGCAGAUGGUUUGUUUAUGUUACUUGCCGACUGUGGCCUCAAGAAAGCAGCAGGUUUCUCAGAUCCUUCGCACUGUGGGAAAAGGCAGAGGGGGAAGGAUGGGGGCCACAGAGAAUCCCUCUUUCUCUGCCAGGUCACCUGCCCUGGCUCCUGGCUGAUAUCAAUGAAGUCCACAUUUACUGUUGUGCUAGGUGCCAACUGCGGUGCAGGUGUGCGGGUGGUUUACAGUCUGACAGUAACACAAUGAAGGGGUAGUUACAGAUGUGAUGCAUGCUAGCAAGAGGAUUUACAGAGGGCAGGGAGGGCUUCCUGGAAGAAGCAGAAAGACUCCCCACCUGAUAGUGGUGCUUGGCGGGGGGAGGGGCGGGAGAACUGUGCACUGGGAUGGAGAGGCCCCUAUUUCCAGACUCUAGCUACUGGGCGUGGGCUCUUUCAGGGCCUGUAUCACCUCCUUGAGUUGAGGGAGGAGUAGGAGAGGGAGUGAGUUAGGACUGGAAUGGAGGCUACUGACCUUCUCCUGGGCAGGACCCCUGGCUGAGAAGCAGAAGCAGAGGUCCCUUCUAGGGGAGAAACCCCUCGGUUUCUACUGCAAUAAAGAAGGGGCCCCAAGCUCUCUCCUGCCACAGCCUCUAAUGAUGGGGUUGGGGUGUAAUGAACAUCUGUGUACUCAUAAAACAGCCUAAUGACC